rnacentral:misc_RNA from 1 species
CACGAACUGCGCGAACGUUAUUCGGAAUCACUGGGCUUAAAGAGUCCGUAGGCGGCUAUGUAGGUGAGGUGUGAAAUCCCACGGCUCAACCGUGGAACUGCGCUUCAAACCAUAUGGCUAGAGGGAGAUAGAGGAGAGCGGAACUGAUGGUGGAGCGGUGAAAUGCGUUGAUAUCAUCAGGAACACCGGUGGCGAAAGCGGCUCUCUGGGUCUCUUCUGACGCUGAGGGACGAAAGCUAGGGUCUCGAACCGG